AUUGAACGCUGGCGGUAUGCCUAACACAUGCAAGUCGAACGAGGUAGCAAUACCUAGUGGCGGACGGGUGAGGAAUACGUAGGGAUCUGCCUUUAAGUGGGGGAUAACCCGGGGAAACCCGGAUUAAUACCGCAUGAUCUCGCAAGAGCAAAGAGGGGGACCGCAAGGCCUCUCGCUUUUAGAGGAACCUACGUCGGAUUAGCUUGUUGGUGAGGUAACGGCUCACCAAGGCGACGAUCCGUAACUGGUCUGAGAGGAUGAUCAGUCACACCGGAACUGAGACACGGUCCGGACUCCUACGGGAGGCAGCAGUGGGGAAUAUUGGACAAUGGGCGAAAGCCUGAUCCAGCAAUACCGCGUGUGUGAAGAAGGCCUUCGGGUUGUAAAGCACUUUAAGUUGGGAAGAAAAAACUUCAAUUAAUACUUGAAGUCUUGACGGUACCGACAGAAUAAGCACCGGCUAACUCUGUGCCAGCAGCCGCGGUAAUACAGAGGGUGCUAGCGUUAAUCGGAUUUACUGGGCGUAAAGCGUGCGUAGGCGGUUUGAUAAGUCGGUUGUGAAAGCCCCGGGCUCAACCUGGGAAUUGCGGCCGAUACUGUCAGACUAGAAAACGGUAGAGGGAGGCGGAACUCCAGGUGUAGCGGUGAAAUGCGUAGAUAUCUGGAAGAACACCGAUGGCGAAGGCAACCUCCUGGGC
rnacentral:rRNA from 1 species